GCUUACGGCCAUACCACCCUGAACACGCCCGAUCUCGUCUGAUCUCGGAAGCUCAGCAGGGUCGGGCCUGGUUAGUACUUGGAUGGGAGACCGCCUGGGAAUACCAGGUGCUGUAAGCUUUU
rnacentral:rRNA from 1 species